AUUACCAUGGUGAGACUUAUAUUAGUGUUCGGUCCACUUAUUUACUGUAAAUCCACUUAUUACACUUGAGACAUGCAAGGUUUAUUGCACUUGACAGAAAUAAAAGACUGAAAUGGUAUGGAUCGCAGACAAAUGAACACCAGCAUAAAUCUUUUCUCUUUUGAUGAAAAAAUUCUCACAAUUUAUUAUUACGCAAAAUAUUAUUGAGACCGUUCCUUACACACACACACAAAUAUAUAUAUAUAUAUAUAUAUAUAUAUAUUAUUACACACAUACGUAUAUACAUACAUAUACACACAUACGUAUAUACACACAUAUACAUAUACACACACACACACACACACUGUAUAUAUAAGGUUGUCUCAAGAUAUUUGUGUCCAUGUUGAUUUAAUAAAAAACAUUUUUUAGAGCACUUCCUACCAAAAAAAUGUAUUUAAUGACAUUAUAUAAAUGGUAGAACCUGCUUUGUAGUAAUAACUUCAACCAGUCAUUUCCUGUAGCUCUUGAUCAGCAUAUCACUGAUGAGGGAUUUUAAACCAUUCCCCCCCAACAAAUAUGUUUCAGCUAAUUAAAAUGUCUUACAUGAACAGCACUAUUCAGGUCAUGCCACAACAUCUCAAUUGAGUUUACGGUAUAGUUCACCCAAAAAUGAAUAUUCUCUCAUCAUUAACUCUCCCUCAUACAAUCCCAGAUGUGUAUGACUUUCUUUCUUCUGCUGAACACAAACAAAGCUUUAACAAGAAUAUUUCAGCUUUGUAGGUCUAUAGAAUGCAAGUAAAUGGGUGCCAAAAUCCAUAUAAGGGCAACAUAAAAGUACUCCAGAUUACUCUGGAGGUGAAAUCCAUGUCUUCAGAAGUGAUAUGAUAGGUGUGUGUGAGAAACCAUUUAAUAUUUAAGUAUUUUAUUGUACUAUAAAUUCUCCUCCCUACUCAGUCAACCUCCGCUUUCACUUUCUCAUUCUCCUUUUGUGAUACACAUUUUACCCGCAUAUCGCCCCCUACCGGGCAGGGCAUUUAUGGUGGGAUUUUAUGAUAAAAAAUUACUUCAAAAUGUAUCUGUUUCUCAACCACACCUAUCAUAUCAUGUCUGAACAUAUGGAUUUAAUCACUGGAGACGUAUGGAAUACCUGUAUUCGUAUGGAAUACUAAUCUACAGUCAGCCGGUCAAUAUCAACUGAGUUUACAUUUUCUCUUACCUUGCAAGAACUGAUUGCUUGUCAUUUGUGAUCAUAUUUCAGUGGUCAGUUAUUUAUCGCCAGUUGCAUAACCCACCAAAAAAGUUAGUACAUCCAGCAGUAGGAAUGCCUACUAGUGGCCAACAGUACACUGACUUCCAGCAAUAAAAUUCCUUUGUGUAAACAGGGCAUAACUUGUGGUCCUACACUUAUAUUACAGUCAAGUCCAUUCCAGGAGUCCAAACAUAUCCGCCCCUCCUCCACAGAGACCAUCCAGUCUCGUUCUGCCCAGGAGGCAUUCCACUCUGAGACACAAGGGGGCAGUGUGAGCAGUGCCAGCUCUCCGAGCCGUAGGUCUGCCAGUCAGCGGCGUUCGUGGCAAGACCUCAUUGAGACGCCCCUCACCAGCUCUGGCCUCCAUUUCCUGCAAACACUGCCACUGGACGAUGCUGUGUUCAUUGAUUCCAAUCGAGCUGUGCCUGUAGAGCUCCGGCGCCAGUCCACUCUCCCUUCACACCCACCCAACCCAGCCAGAAGCCCAUAACAGCUGGAGGAAGAGGAGAAGGAGGGGGGGGGGGGGACUCGAAGGAGGAAGCAAGCACCGCAGCUUUACCUUGCCCCGUGAUUGUUGUCUUCAUCCCAUCCUGGCUGCCACCAGUGCAGCUGAACACGGAGAUGCCCAGCGCUACCAACUGGGAUGGGCUCAUGCCAGAGACACAGAAGAAAGUCAUACACAUCUGGGAUUCCAGGGGGGAUGAUGAAUCGCUACCCUGACAUUAUCCUGUAAAAUCUCUUGAUACAGUUUUGAAUUAAUUGUUCCCUCAAUGACUGCAAACUGUCCAGGCCCUGAAAUGGCAAAGCAGCCCCAAACUAUGAUGGAUCCUCCACCAUGCUUCACAGUUGGGAUGAGGCUUUGGUGUUGGCGUGAAGCACCUUUAUUCCUCUAAAUAAAACGUUGAGCGUUUCUGCCAAAAAGUUAAAUUUUUGUUUCAUCUGUCCACAGAACAUUACUCUAGAAACUUUGUGGAGCAUCACAAAGCUCAUGUAGUGAUCUUUGCAGGGCGCCCACUUCUAGGCAAAAUAGCAACAGUGCUGAAUUUCCUCCUUUUGUAGACAAUUUGUCAUACUGUGGAUUGGUGAACAUCCAGGUCUUUAGAAAGGUUUUUGGAGCCUUUUCCAGCUUCAUGCAUCUCUGAUCCUCUGAAAAGUCAGAGUCUUGAGAAAUUCAGACUCUGUCUCUACCCAGACUUAUAAGAUUAGCAUUCGAUUACAUUCAACUUUAUUGUCAUUCAGCAAAGUACAGGUACACAGCCAAUGAAAUGCAGUUGGAGUUUCUGUGCUCUGACCCCAACUAAGCUGGGGUCAGAGCACAGGGUCAGCCAUGAAACUGCUGGAGCAGAUAGGGUCAAGGGCCUUGCUCAAGAGCCCAACAGUGGUAUCUUGGCAGUGCUGGGGCUUGAACCCCCAACCUUUUGGUCAGUAACCCAGAGCCUUAACCACUAAGCCACCACUGGCGAAUAAAUGCCGAAAUAAAGGUUCCAGGUCACUGAGUGUGUAUGUACUGUAUAUGUUUUUACAAUUAUCAUACAUUUUGGAGUCACAAAUAUAAAGAUAUUCUUUAUGGUUUCAACAUUUGGCCUGACCAAAAUGUGCCUUUUCACAAAAAUAUCUAAAUAUCUGAUAUUUUUAAAACUUAACACAGUCAUGAGGGUCAAAAGGGGUCUCUCCGUUUUAUGGUAUUUCUUGUUUAUCAAAUAUUAACGUUUUAUUUACUUUUCUAAAGAAAUAAUAACAAAAGAUGAUUCCAAACUACUUAUGGGAACAUUUAUUAAGAGAAUUUGAGCUUUUAUUAAGACUUUUUUUUUUUUGUCUCCAGACAGUUUUAUGGAUGAUGCUAAGUGGUCUGCACAUAUAUAGCGCCUUUUUAACCGUCGAGAUAUUCAAAGCGCUUUACACUAUGUCUCAUUCAUCCAUUCAAACACCAAUGAUGGCAGAGCUUGCUGCCAUGCAAGGUGCUAGCCUGCCAUUUUAUACUGUAAACCCCAGAAAAAAACAUCAAAAUUACUUUGAACUCAGAAAUUGAAAACAUGUUCAUCAUAGUAGACAUAUUCAAGUACCUGUAAUUGUUUUGUGCGCAUUUCAUUUGAAAUUACUUAUUAGAUUAGGAUUGAAAAAAAAGUUUGCGUCACACCAUAUAGCAUAAUAUUUGUGUGGCCCUUUUACAUGGUACUACAUUUCAAAGAAUACCAUGCUAUUAACAUUGUACCUUUUCUUAAAAACCACUGUACUUCU